AGAUUGCAAAAACUAGCAGACAUACUGAAACUGGAGAAAAUGUGGAUCAAGGCAAAAUCUUACAUCUUGCUGAUAAGAAUAUAAAUUGGUACAGUCACACUGAAAUUUGCACAGUUCUUUAAACUUAAGGCUCACAUCCCCUACAACCUAGCAGUUUCAUAGGAAUUCUUGCAUAGGCACAAUAGUAGACUUGUACAAAAUGUUAUUAGAACCUAGUCUGUAUUGGGAAAAAAAACAGUAAACAAACAAAAUAGUCAUUGACAGAAUACAAAAUAUAUUGUGGCAUAGUCACACAAUGAAAUAAUAUACACCAAUCAAAAUAAAUGGGCAAAAUUAUAAAUGACUACUACAAACUAUUGAGAAAAAAAAAAAGGAAAUCACAGAAUACUACCUGCUGCAUGAUAAUAUUUUAUAGAAUUCUGAAACCAGCAAAAGUAAACGACAUAUUAUUAGGAGGUCUUAUAUUAGAGGUUACUCCUAGGUUUGCAGCUAGAGGGCAAAGCAGGGAGAUGGUAGCGGAGGAACCCAGGGGAAGGUGCAAGUUAUUGAUAACUCUUUGGUUCUUGGUUUGAGCUGUAAGUCCAGGGGUGUCAUUUUAUAAUUGUGCCUCAUGGUCCAUGUUUUUUUGUGUAUACAUCAGAUGGUAUACACUAUUUUGAAAUUAACAAUAUAGGAAAAUACAUAGUAAAAAUACUAGAAUAAAAUAUCCCCAAAUUAGUAGUGUAUAUUAUAGGUGAAGGUUAUUGAUGGCUUCUAGCUUCUCUGUACUGUGUUUUCAAAAGAAAAAGAGAACAUACAUUCAUUGUAUAAAAAUUGUUUUAAGAAUCUCUGUAAAUGAAAGGACAUGACACUGCUUGAGGAUCACAGUCUGACAGAAGGGGAACCCUUUCAGAACUCAUGAAAAAGUUUCUUCCUUAUUUAUUGCUUACAUUUAUUACACAUUUAAUUUUGAGAAACAGCAUUUGAUCUGGCAUGAUAUGUGUUCUUCCUUUGCUUGUUCUGUGUUUCAGAGAAUGCUUAUUAAUUUAGUACGUAUCCUGCUUUAUUUUUGUAAAGGAUGAUAAAAAAGGAUUUGAUGUUAUUUGAGGGUUUGCUAUAUUUGAAACUGCUGGCUUGGGUCGUCCCAGGCCUGUGAUAAACCCUGGUGUUUGUUUAAUCUGUUUUCUACCAGCAGCUGACGCACAGCAUGCGCUGUUCUUUGUAUUUCUAAUUUUUGUGAACCCUUUGAUCAAAAUCUGAUGAUGUAAAAAACAAAACAAUAGGAUCAGUGACAGUGGCAGUUAAAUGAGUUCAAUCAGUUGUUUAAAGCAUUGUCACAGUUGAAAGAUCGUUCUUUUCCUUCAAACUAGAUACAAAUUCUGGAUGUUGAAGGAGAAAUAAUUAAAUAUUAUUUUAUUUAUUCCUGGUGUGAAUGGGCUGCUGUAGCCCAACUGAUAAAUAUUCAGUAUAAACUCCACAAUCUAAGGGUCAUCUUACCCAACAGGUGCUGGAAUUUCUCCCUGUAUCACAGGGAAGGAGAUACUUAAUCUUUCUGCUUAUGAGAUUCCUAAUUAGGUAUUUUUAUGGUAUAGGCAUAUGCCACCUCACUACUUAAUCUUCAUUUUUAUUUUUUAAUCAAUAUUUUAUUGAGUUAUAGUUGAUUCACAGUGUUGUUUUAGUGACCUUCAUUUUUAAAAGAAGGCAUAGUAAUAGAAACCCUGGAUUUGAUACAAACCCUAGAAAAAAAUCAUCUAAACUCUCUGAAAUUUAGUUUCCUCAACCAUGACAUGAGAGCAACCACAACACCUGAGUAUUUUACUUUAUGAGUAGUUAAGAGAAUUGCUUAAGGUUCUAUCUGAGAAAGUGCUUUGGGAACUAUGUAUAUCUGCCUACCUAUACCUGUAUGUAUAUAUACCUAGAGGUUUAUAGAGAUGCAGCCUGUAAUUAUUAAAUUCAUGGGCUUACUAUGAUCAGGACGUUUCAAGUCCAGGGCAAAUUAUUCAUUUUCAUGCAUGUCACUAAGGGUAAGUGAAACAGUUUGUGGAUGGUGUGUUUGCUUGUUUUGUAAGUGGCUGCAUCCUACAUAGAUUAUGGUCCCUCUCUCUUCCCCAGCAGUCAAGCAUUCUGACCACCACCCCCAUGGCUUGGAAGACUGUCACUUAGGCUAAAGGCCAGUACCCUGGCCACUCCUCUUACAAACUCCAGACUCAGAUUUGUCUUAACUUGGCAGUGCUCAACCAGAGUCAAUUUUGCUCCCCUUUUCUCAGAGACAAGUAACAAAGUCUGGAGAUAUUUUUGAUUGUCACAGCUAGCAUGGGGGCUCUACUGUCACCUAGUGUGUAAUGGCCAGGGAUGCUGCUCAACAUCCUAUGAUGCACAGGACAGCCCUCCUUCCCCAACAACAAAGAAUUAUCUGGUUCUGGAUGUCAACAGUGCCAAGACUGAGAAACCCCUAUCUAAGUCAAUAUUGGGCAAUUGAGAAAAGGUCCAAUUGCUCUGAAGCUUGUCUCCCACCCCACUUGUGCAUCCAGUGGUUUGAAUGAACUUCAAAUAAUCCUGCUUUCUUUGGCUCACUUACACCAUCCUAUCAAAAGGUUUGCAUAGGUGUGUUGUGUGUAUCAAUCUUUCUAUUUGCAAUCUCUUAGACAGCUUCUGGGGAAUUGAGCCAAGUGAACAUCUUGAUACUGGAUUCAACUGAAGUUGAGAAGAAUUCUUCUUGGUCUAAUACUAUCCCUGAUUCUUGACAUUGGGUUCUACAACUGGUUCCUCCCUUUCGAUCUAAUUCUGGGUCAUUUGUUCUGAGUUUAGGGAGAAAAGCUCCCACAACAUCUUAAAGACAGUCAAUCAGACAGGUCCUCCAUUAUAUUGGAAGGAAUGCUAAUCAGCCAGAGGGCAGGAAACAAAGCAGAGAGUAUGGGAUGUCAGAUGGUUUUCCAGGCAAAUGAGAAGCAGCUGCAAACUGGAUUGGCAAGAGCCAACAGCCAGGAGGCUGGGAACACCUAUAUCAGUUUAACACCAUAGACAAGAACACUAGAAGAUUAUCACUUCUCAGUAUAUUUGGAUGAAAAUAUCUCCCUGCAAUCAUCAAUAUACAAUAUAGAAUAAGACCAUUAAAUGAGGCUAAGUAAUAUAGCCAAUAAACAGUAUUCAAAGUACCCUUCAUUGCAUUCUUAUUUGCCAUUACAUGGUAAUAUUUUUAUUAGGCUGGCAGUAUAGUACUAUGAAUUGGCCUAUUGAAGAUGUUGUUAUGUAUUUUUAAUAGGUCCCUUAGAUUCCACUGGAGUCUAGGAAACAAUUCUGAAGAAACUCAUCCAAAGAGAAAUCAUUACUGAUUCUCAUAUAAAGAUAAUAUGUUUUGUUUUCCCUUUUUCCUUUAUAUCUCCUGGACAUUGAGUGUGACUAAUGUAUUUGGUGGUAUGAGAAAUCCACGAGGCAAUGACAUCACAAUAUGUAAUUUUUCCCUUGUGUACUCAACAAAGUCAAAGUUCUCUUGUACACUUAAAGAAUCAAAAGCCUAACUUGGAACUGGAAUAGUAUCCAAAAUAAACAAGUUAUAAUGUUCUCUUUCCCCCUAAACCCAGCAUUUUCCUCUGUAGUUUUAAAGUUUGGAAUUAGGUUGUCAUAAUAGUAUGACUUUUAUUUUUAAUUAGUAAAUG
ensembl:lncRNA